AACGAACGCUGGCGGCAUGCCUAACACAUGCAAGUCGAACGAGACCUUCGGGUCUAGUGGCGCACGGGUGCGUAACGCGUGGGAACCUGCCCUUAGGGUUGGACUAACUCCCCGAAAGGGGUACUAACACCGGACAAUGUCUACGGACCAAAGAUUUAUCGACUUUGGAUGGGCCCGCGUUGGAUUAGCUAGUUGGUAGGGUAAAAGCCUACCAAGGCGACGAUCCAUAGCUGGUCUGAGAGGAUGAUCAGCCACACUUGGACUGAGACACGGCCCAGACUCCUACGCGAGGCAGCAGUGGGGGAUAGUGGACCAUGGGCGAAAGCCUGAUCCAGCAAUGCCGCGUGAGUGAUGUAGGCCUUAGGGUUGUAAAGCUCUUUUACCCGGGAUGAUAAUGACAGUACCGGGUGAAUAAGCUCCGGCUAACUCCGUG
rnacentral:rRNA from 1 species